AUUAUUAUAAGACGUAUUGCGUUUAAGUAAAAUAUUGUACCUAUUGUAAAAGUUCAAUUUAAGAUUUUUUCUAAGGCAACACUGAGGUAUGCAUUCAAUAUAACGGACCAUUUUAUCAGCAGCUCUCCAAAGUCCAUAAGAAUAAUGUAAUUUUUUGAGAGGUGACCAUUUCUGAUUUCAUCUAUUCUGUGGUUAUAUUUUUACUCUGUAGUCUAUAAAUUAAUCAUAGAUGUUUAUAUUAUACAUAGUACAAUAUAGACAUCUGUGAAAUUAAUAGAUUAUAAUAUACGUGGUCGAAAACUUUGAAGCACUACAGGUAGCACCGUUCACAUGAAUCGCUGCCUAUCCGGUAGAAGAUAAGAAAUAUUAGUAUUUGUAUUGAUUUGUGAUUAGUAAUUACUGAUUACUGACUAGUGAGUACUAGGCUGUCUGGGCGUUAAUCAUUGGCCUGUGGAGCGUGAGUCCGUGAUUGUUACGUGACACUUAUUUCCGGCUAUUGCCUGAAGGCUCUCCUAGUCUCCUUGUUCAACUCCAUGUGCUUGACUGGAAAACGGCGUCAAAAACACACGAUUGUCAAUCAUUCAAUUACAUCUUCAACAUUGCUUUACACACAUACCUUCGACCGAUAGUCGCAUAAUAAAUAUCUGUGAAUAUAGCAACAAUUUUGACUCCAGUAAUGUUCAACCAUGUGUACCGCGACGGUAUGAAAUUAUUAUCCGUUGAAUUAUAAGUAUACACAAAUAUAUACCAAUGGUUCUAUGUAUGCCAGACUUCAACAUUUUAACACUACCAAAUACAUAAAAGCAAUCAUAACUCAGAUAAUUUGGAUAAACUAUCUCCCGAGUGAUCAAUUAUAAAAAAAUAUCAUAGUUAAAGAUAGUUUACCUUAAAGUAACAUUAUUAAGUCAGAUGAUAUUGAUGUGAUGAUGAUGAAGUAGACUGAAGUACUCUGCAAAUAAAAUCCCAUUUUACGUCAAGUGUAUGCUGACUAUCACAAAAUGCAUAACUGUCUUUAUAGUACAAAUCAGUGUCAUAAUAUCACUAAUUUUUAAGACACUUAAUCUAGAUUUUAAAGCCCUAACAAUAUUAAUGGAAAAUAAUUUCAAUGAUAAUUUGAUAGUUCUUGCAAAUAAUACAAUAACUGUUAUAGGUGAUCAUAUUCAAGUGCACAAGUCAUCUGUUUGCAAAAUUAUUAAACGUGUGUCAAAAUGUAUAGCUUGCCUUUGUCCUUUGUUCAUAAAUAUGCUCAAAAUUCAAAAUGAAAUGCAAGAAGUUCAAAUUGGAUUUUAUCGACACAACCAAUUCCUUAAAGUAAUUGAUGCAAUGGAUUGCUUACAUAUUAGAAUUCAAUCUCCUAAUAGCAAUUUAGGAAAACAAUUUAGAAAUAGAAAAGCCUACUUCUCCUUUAAUGUUUAAGCUGUAUGUAAUAGCAAACUGCAAAAUGGAGAUUAUGAACAUUGUAGUUAGAUAGCCAGGAUCUGUACAUCACAGUACUAUUUUCGAUAAUAGCUUAUUACGUGCAUAGUUCGAAAACAAUGAAUAUAAAGAAUAUUUUCUUCUCGGAGAUGGUGGAUUUCCCUGCAGAAAAUAUUUAAUGACUCCACUGUUAUAUCCUACCACAGCUGCAGAAAAAAAGUAUCAAAAAGCCCAAAUCGGAACCAGAAAUGUAAUCGAAAGGGUUUUUGGUGUUUUAAAACGGCAUUUUCCAGUUUUGUCUGUUGGAUUAAUUAAUCAACCAAAAUCAGCAUUGACUACUAUUGUUGCUGUGGCUGUUUUA